rnacentral:misc_RNA from 1 species
GAAUUGCGAUAAGUAAUGUGAAUUGCAGAAUUCAGUGAAUCAUCAAAUCUUUGAACGCACAUUGCGCUCCUUGGUAUUCCGGGGAGCAUGCCUGUUUGAGAAUCAAUAAAUCUCUCACCGCUAGUUGUCUGUCAUGGUAUUAAUAAUUCCUUGACCGAUGCCUGGUGGUGGAUUUGAGUCCUUUGCGACCUCACGGUCACAAUGACUUUAAAUUCAAUGUCUGCAGCUUUCUUCUGACGGGGAAUGACUUUGAGUGCAUGAACUGUUUUAAUUAACCCAGAUUUCACUCCUUAAAGUUCCUGAUGUCUUGGAGAAUCGCUGUUUGACCCAACCAUUACAUCCUUGCGGGAUCAUUUUUUGACCUCGCAUCGAAAACUUGGUCUCAAAUCAGGUAGGAAAA